rnacentral:rRNA from 1 species
UACGAAGGGAGCUAGCGUUAUUCGGAAUUACUGGGCGUAAAGCGCAUGUAGGCGGAUAUUCAAGUCAGGGGUGAAAUCCCGGGGCUCAACCCCGGAAUUGCCUUUGAAACUGUGUAUCUUGAGUAUGACAGAGGAUGGUGGAAUUUCCAGUGUAGAGGUGAAAUUCGUAGAUAUUGGAAGGAACACCGGUGGCGAAGGCGACCAUCUGGGUCAUAACUGACGCUGAGAUGCGAAAGCGUGGGGAGCAAAC